ncrna:unclassified sequences Hairpin-meta1 ribozyme sequence
UUGCAGUCAUUCCAGCAUUUUACUGGUUUAGAAGCAAAGUCAGUGAAACAUCCAGACGUCGUCGAAUCGCUUGCGCGACCUCGUUCUGGAGCACCUUACCUGAC